CCCGGUCUUUUCCAAACAACACAAUAAAACCCCAUCAUCAACAGGCCCAAGUGAUAUUCACAGGGUGCUUUAUGACAUGGGGCAGGACGAGCGCGUGGGAAGAUUUGGGGGAUUGAUUCAGAUCAGAGGUGACCUGAACUGUUCCGGAAACACCAGAGAGGUGUCAGACCCUCACUAUUGACCCUGUUUUAAAGGAGAGUAGUUUUAGCAACGCCUCAGUUUUGUCUUUCUGUCUCCCUACGUGGAUCUGUGAGGCUCAGGCUCUGCCCCCUAGGACCACAGGGAGGGGUGAAGGUAUAAAACCGCCUGCAUUUCCCCCAGACUGACUAUAGACAUACGGGAAGUUAUAGAGACAGCGGCGCGUCUUCUCACCUGCUAAACCUAUUCAGUCACAAUGCUAUCACGAAAAUUGAUUGUGCCUUUGAUCUUGGCUUUGGCUGGUCUUGCUCUCUCAGCCCCCGUUACUGAUGGAACCGACACAGACAAUGAUGAGAUGGCAGCUGCCUUGCUAGCACACACUAAUGGUGCUGAACAUGACGAUGCCCCUACAGGUAGACCCAUAGUUGAAUCAGCAACUGAAGAAUCUGCAGGGACCACCGAUCGGGCUGACUCUGCAGAGCUCACUGGAGAUUCCAAUGAUACGUCCACAGACACCAACAAUGGUGAAGCAAGCGUGGAAACCACAGGCCAUCCUGAAACCCCAGAUGCAGCGGACUCAACAGACCACACAGACACAGUGGAUGAAGCUGAUGCCUUUGCGGUUGGGACAGAGACUGUAGACUCUGCUGAUUCAACAGACACCAAUGCAGAUUCAGAGGCUGUUAAACCUGAAGCGGCCAAAGAGACUGUUGACUCAGCCGAUGUGGACACAUCUCCAGAAAAUGUCUCCACAGAACAGGACGACCAGGUUGACAAGGACGACAACGUCAAAUCAGACGAAGACACAACAGCGGUGACAGACGUGCAAGCUGACACUGCUGAUGUGACCAGUGAUGAGACAGGCGAGGCCCCGGAUAUGGACCAAGACGAUAACAAAAGUGACGCAGAGGAUGCAGAUGAAGACAAAACUCUAGGCACUGACCCUAAAAAUGCUAAAGCAGACGAUAGUGAAGAGGAUAAGGACAGUUCACAUGAGCCUGAGGCUGUUGCUGAGGGGAAGAACAGUGAAGAAGAAUCAAAGGAAGAGGCGGACGGCGACAGCAAACACGAUGACACUGACUUGGAUUCAGACAAGGCCAAGGACACAGACGAGGACAGUCAACAGGACACUGACACAGGCGACAACAGGCCAGACACAGAUGACCAGAAAGAUAGCAAAGAGAGCAACGAAGAGGGACCAUGGGUCGUGAAGGAGGAACCGAAAGAUCGGGGAAUGGAAGAAAAAGACAGCGAGAGCCAACAGGACACCUCAGAAGAGGACAAGAAGCCAGACACAGAUGAUGAAAAAGACCCCAACAGCGCACUCGACAGUAAAGACAGCAGCGAAGGCCAGGCCCGGGUGCCGGAAACAGACCAGGAGGAGAAAGCCACGGUGGACAGCCAGGAAAAGCCUGAAACAGCAAGCACUGAGGAAAGAGGUGACUUGAGGGACCAAGAGGUCAGUCCUGACGACAGUGUGGAAGAAGGCAGCCCUGUAGGGGGCCAAGAUCUCAAGCCUUCAAAGGAUUCAGAUGAGACAGAGCUGGUGAUGAAGGAGAUUAACCCCGACAUGACAGAGUCUGAGAGUAAGGAGAGUACGAGGGACAGUGAGGAAGACAGCCCGGAGGAGAGUGAGGAUGACACAAGCAGACCUCAGACUGAAGCAGACUUCAGUGUUAUGGUUGGAGUCAGCAUCACCUCUAAACCACAAGACGAUAACAGUGAAGAUAACACAGAAAACCAGCCAGAGGAUGAUAGCAUGAUGAGAGAGCCAGAAGAUUCUAACAAUUCUGACAAGGAUGAUAAGGACAAAGAUGACUCUGAUUCAGAUGAUGAUGAUUCACAUGCAGAGACAGACGCAAAUUCACACACAGAUGAGGACGAGACAGAUGAGGAUUCCCAUGAUGAGUCAAUGGCAAAAGAUGACGAUAUAGACGAGAUGGACGGAGUUGAAACAACAACUCGAGAUUCAGACGAAACAAUGAAGUCUGAUGAGAUGGAUGUUGCUGAUGACAAAACAGAAGCAGUGGCAGCUGUGGUUCCAGACCAACCAGAUCAUCUGGACGACAUGGCGCAGGUGGCUGAGCCUGCUGCCACCGUCCCAGUAAUCCAGUCUUAGCAGUGUAGGUGGAGCCCAGAGGAGUUUGAAAGACCCAUCAUGGUGAAUCCCACGGAAAUGUUAUCCUGCAGUCAGCAACAGCAUCAACAAAAACUAUAGUGAAACGUUUGUCUUAAGUUCCUUAACCCACUCUUGCCCCUCAAAGAGGUGAAAAUGUCAACGUGGCUAAAACUAUUUAAGUGUUUUGGUGAACAUUACCUUUUUACCCACAUGUUUACAUCUAAAGGGUACUUAGAUUUUUCGUAAAUUGGCAACAUUUUUAAACGCAGUUUUUGUUACAAACAGGAUAUUUAAGUUGAGAAGUCUUCAUUACACUACUGUAGCAUACUGAUCAAAUCUUCAAAAUGUUUCUUUUACAAUGCCCAUAUGUCACUUUUUGUAAGAUAGCAUUUAGUCAUUCUAGGUUUGCUAUGUUUCUGCAGGUUAUGGGUUUCUACAAUUUAUCUCUUGCCUUCAUAUUAUGUGUUGCUGUUUCAUUCUUGGCAGAAAGCUGAACUGGCACUUUGUCCUUCUAACCGAUAAUGGCUGCUACAUUUGAAAUAUAACUCCAACUGACUCUCAGUACAACAUUCCUUUUAAAAUUGUAAGAAAAAUAAGGUCAUAUAUAUACAAUUAAGUGUACAUACAUGUUAUUACAUUACUAUGUAUUUGAUAAAGUAUACAACAAAUCUAGAGAAAGUACUAGAAAAAAUGUGCUUUAAAAUGGUUUGGAAAAAUUGUAAAAUAACAUUUGAAUAGACAUAAUGAGACCUUUUUAAUAUUACACAGGGGGAAAAAUCAAAUAAAGAUUGAGCUGUCAGAGACAUUUUAUUUUGCCAGUUUUUUGGGAUAAAAAGUUGUGUGUUUGUGUGUGUCUUUGUGUGUUCUUUUGUUAAACAACGCCUUGGUCCUUCAGCGCGGUUCUAUAAAUGAACUUAGCAUUAACAUGGUGGAAAGAAUAACAUCCCUUACUGACAUUUGGACGGUGGCGCCUGGGACGUGCUUUGUUUAUGCCACAUUUGUACAUCUGUAAAGGCAAACUGCUGCUUUUCAAAUUCCCCCACAAAACUUUCUCUGGGG
ensembl:lncRNA